rnacentral:rRNA from 1 species
AAUUUUGUACAAUGGGGGAAACCCUGAUCCAGCCAUCCCGCGUGUAUGAUUAAGGCCUUCGGGUUGUAAAGUACUUUUGGCAGCGAAGAAAAGUUAUCUCCUAAUACGAGAUACUGCUGUCGCUAUCUGCAGAAUAAGCACCUCCUAACUACGUACCAGCAGCCGCGGUAAUACGUAGGGUGCAAGCGUUAAUCGGAAUUACUGGGCGUAAAGCGUGUGUAGGCGGUUCGGAAAAGAAGAUGUGAAAUCCCAAGGCUCAACCUUGGAACUGCAUUUUUAACUGCCGAGCUAGAGUAUGUCAGAGGGGGGUAGAAUUCCACGUGUAGCAGUGAAAUGCGUAGAUAUGUGGAGGAAUACCGAUGGCGAAGGCAGCCCCCUGGGAUAAUACUGACGCUCAGACACGAAAGCGUGGGGAGCAAAC